GCAGAGGGAGAGGGAGAGGGGCAGCCUCUUCUUCAGCAGGUUCCCGGGGUGAAGGUCCAUCAGCUCCAGCUCGGAUCUUCACUAUGACACAGCAGGAGGCGAACACAUCCAACACUGUGGUGUCAGGUAAUCUCAUCAUUGGUUGUUCUGAUGUGUAUGCUUUAAUGGACCCUGGUGCAUCUCAUUUUUUUGUUGCUCCG
rnacentral:lncRNA from 1 species